rfam:Hordeum vulgare subsp. vulgare, WGS project CAJW01000000 data, contig: morex_contig_274389
UUUCUACUCCCUCCAUCCCAAAAUUCUUGUCUUAGAAAUUUCUAUAUAUGAAUGUAUCUAGUCAUAUUUUAGUAUUUAAAUACAUUCAUUUUUAGACAAACCUAAGACAAGAAUUUUAGGACGAAGGGAGUAUGCU